rnacentral:tRNA from 1 species
GCCUGGAUAGCUCAGAGGUAGAGCGCGGUGCCCACGUUGACGGCGGGGCGUCGAGGUCGCGGGUUCGACCCCCGCUCCGGGCU